rnacentral:misc_RNA from 1 species
GAUGAAGAACGUAGCAAAAUGCGAUAAGUAAUGUGAAUUGCAGAAUUCAGUGAAUCAUCGAAUCUUUGAACGCACAUUGCGCCCGCCAGUAUUCUGGCGGGCAUGCCUGUUCGAGCGUCAUUUCAACCCUCAAGCACAGCUUGGUGUUGGGACUCGCGUUAAUUCGCGUUCCCCAAAUUGAUUGGCGGUCACGUCGAGCUUCCAUAGCGUAGUAGUAAAACCCUCGUUACUGGUAAUCGUCGCGGCCACGCCGUUAAACCCCAACUUCUGAAUGUUGACCUCGGAUCAGGUAGGAAUACCCGCUGAACUUAAGCAUAUCAAGCGGAGGA